GCGGGACUUCCGGCGUUGCCUCAGUGGUGCUCCUCUUGCAGCCGUGGGUCGGCGCCAACACCUGGAGAGCCGCAUCGCGGCGGAGGGGGCCAGGGACCCUCGUCGCGCCUGUGCACGUCGUGACCCUCGGGAAUGACUCCGUCUUCCUGAGACUUGGUGUCGCCCACUGCGGAACGGGCGCCGGAGGGUCAGGGCCUCCCGCAGGCGGCUCCUUGGUCUUUGCGCACGUUGUAAACAGGGGGAGACCUGGCUUCACAGUUUCCACAGUCGACCGGAGGUUCCUGCGCCCAAGAAGGGGUGGCAGGUACGGAUUUGAGCUGAGUAGGCCGAAAUUCGGCGCCUUUCGCGGCGAAGCUCCGCCAACAGUUUCCGAUGGCCGAAGAGGCGCUGGGGCUGGUGACCUUUGAGGAUGUGGCUGUGUAUUUCUCCCGGGAGGAGUGGGGGCUUCUUAAUCUGACCCAGAGAAGCCUGUACCGUGAUGUGAUGCUACAGAACUUUGCACUUAUUGGCUCGCUGGGAUUUGCACCUUCAAGAUGCCAUGCGGUUGCCCAGCUGGAGAGUGAAGAAGAGCUCUGGGUGCCAAGCAUGGCAGACCUGAGUCUGGUCAGUAGAGCAGAGGCCACGAGGGGUCCUGGUCUUGGUUGCCCACGUGGACUGGAGGAUGGGGAAGCCCCUACAGAGCAGACGAAGGGUCACAGCGUCCACCUGUCGGAGAAGCCCUUUGUGCACGGAGAGGCUGGGAUGGACGUCCUUGCCACCUUACUUCCUCUGCAGCACCGUGCCACCCACCGCAGCGGGGAGUCACACGGGAGCACGGAGCGCGGGGAGGCCUUCCAGCCCAGCUCCCGCUGCCGACAGCAGCAGGGAGUCCACGCCGCACAGAAGGCCUUCAAGUGCAGUGACUGCGGGAAAGCUUUCCCGAAGGCCUUUGCUCUACUUGACCACCUAGUAACCCACCCCAAAGAGAGGCCCGUUAGACGUCCAAAAGGUGGAAAUACCCCCACGGAGAAAUCUACCUGUGUCAAUUACCAAAAAAUUCACACUGGGGAAACAUCCCAUGUGUGCACUGAGUGCGGAAAGGCCUUCAGUUAUCCCUCUAAGCUGAGGAAGCACCAGAAGGUUCACACAGGCAUAAAACCUUUCAAGUGUGAUGAGUGUGGCAAAACCUUUAACCGCAAAGAUGCACUCGUUCUGCACCAGAGAAUUCACACCGGAGAAAGGCCCUAUGAGUGCAGCGAAUGUGGGAAGGCGUUCAGUGUUCUGUCUACUCUCAUUCGGCACCGGAAAGUUCACAUUGGAGAAAGGCCCUAUGAGUGCAGGGAAUGUGGGAAGUUCUUUAAGUACAGCCAUAGCUUCAUUCUUCAUCAGAGAGUUCACACUGGAGAGAGGCCUUAUGAGUGCGAGCAAUGUGGGAAAACUUACGUGACCCGCUCUGGCCUGUAUCAGCACUGGAAAGUUCACACUGGAGAACGGCCCUAUGAGUGCAGCCUGUGCGGGAAGACCUUCACCACCAGGUCUUACCGCGAUCGGCACCAGCAGUUCCACACUGAAAAGAGGUCCUAUGGGUGUACAGAAUGUGGGAAAGCCUUCAAACAUAGUUCUACCCUUCUUCAGCACAGGAAAGUGCACACUGGAGAAAGGCCAUAAGAAGACAGGACGUUGGAAAGCCUGUAGCUAGGGCUGGCACCUUGUUCAGCAUGAAGGACCUCACUCCGGAAAGGAGAGGAGAGGAACCACUUGAAAGCUAAACCUGACACCCCCCCAACACGUGCCCUGGGGUGGCGGGUAUGUGGGAAGUUUUCAGGAGCCAGGUGGCACUGGGACCUGCCUAGGCUGUUGGCAGUGUCAAGUCACUGCCAGUUUCUGUGAUACAAGCCAUUGCACCUCCACCACCAGGUGGGCAUCAGGCACCGCAAUGCGCUCUCAUACAGCGAGACCUCCAUGGUCCCCGUGGUGAGCGGCUGAGCCCCUGAUGGGCCUCAUUUGCUCCCUCCAGCUGGUCCCGGUGUGUCUGUGACCCAGGUCUGGUCAGGAGUAGCUGAGCUGUGUCUACUGGGGGCUUCCAGAGAAGGUUGAUAGUUCACAUGGACGCAGUUUAGACUACGCAUGGUACCUGUCAUGGAUUUAUCCAGCCCUGGAACUGACUGUCUCACGCUUCCCUGGAAUGUAUGGUAAUAAAAGUUCUACUAUUUAAGCCAGCUUUAAUAUGGGGGGUUCUGAUCACUAUGUGGAGGGAUUGAGAACAAAACUGGGCUCAUGAAUAGCGGGACCGACUUCUGUAGUAAGGGGUCCCUGACUUUUGUUGCCUUACUAGGGAUAGCAGGAUGUUCACUUCACGGCCAUCGCCCUGGUCCUGAGAGAAUGAAGAUCCUGCAGUCCUGGGAUGUGGCCAGUGUUCGUGGUGUCUCUGCAUACUGUAGCAUUCAUUGUCUUUCUUGCCAGUGUCCCAGGGCACAAAGGAAAGAUGUGGUUGAAUCAACACAUGGGCCCGUAUCCUCAGAUUUAAAUCCGUGAUUCCUUUUGAGUGAGUUUUUGCACAAGGUAUGAAAUUUAGUUUGCACUCGGUGGAACUGGAGUCUGAGACCUAGAAGAGCAACUGGAUUUGCUAGUGUAAUGUCACCCUUCUUGGAUUCCACCACGUUGAGAGGUUCAUCCCCAUCUCUUCUCCAUGCAGCAAAGUAGAAUUCCCAAAGGGAACUGCAGAUCUAACCCCCUGGUUACCCAUUUCCCACAGGACCUGACCCUUUCUGUCCUGGGGCCCAUCUCCAACGAGGGAUGGCCUGGGGACUUUCAUCAGAGAUUUAUCUUUUUUAUGGACAUUGUUGACUCUACACAGGACAUUUGUGAUGGAUUUGUCCAGCCUUCAACUCACUCAUCCCUGGAACAUAUCACCUUAUA